rnacentral:rRNA from 1 species
UACGAAGGGGGCUAGCGUUGUUCGGAUUUACUGGGCGUAAAGCGCACGUAGGCGGAUCGUUAAGUCGGGGGUGAAAUCCUGGAGCUCAACUCCAGAACUGCCUUCGAUACUGGCGAUCUAGAGUCCGGAAGAGGUGAGUGGAACUCCUAGUGUAGAGGUGGAAUUCGUAGAUAUUAGGAAGAACACCAGUGGCGAAGGCGGCUCACUGGCCCGGUACUGACGCUGAUGUGCGAAAGCGUGGGGAGCAAACAGG